ensembl:snRNA Gm25705 U6 spliceosomal RNA
GUGCUCACCUCGGCAGCAGAUAAACUAAAAUUGGAAAGAUACAGAGAUUAACAUGGCCCCUUUGCAAGGAUGACAUGCAAGUUUGUGAAAUGUUCCAUAUUUUU